GUGCCAGCAGCCGCGGUAAUACGUAGGGGGCCAGCGUUGUUCGGAAUUACUGGGCGUAAAGGGCGCGUAGGCGGUGCGGUGUGUUCGGUGUGAAAUCUCCCGGCUCAACCGGGAGGGGCCAUCGAAAACUGCCGCGCUUAGGGUACAGGAGGGGGCAGUGGAAUUCCCGGUGUAGCGGUGAAAUGCGUAGAGAUCGGGAGGAACACCAGCAACGAAGGUGGCUGCCUGGACUGUAACCGACGCUGAGGCGCGAAAGCUAGGGGAGCAAACAGGAUUAGAUACCCCUGUAGUCC
rnacentral:rRNA from 1 species